rnacentral:rRNA from 1 species
AGUGAACGUUGGCGGCGUGGAUUAGGCAUGCAAGUCGAGCGAGAACCGUAGCAAUACGGGGACAGCGGCGAAAGGGACAGUAAUGUGUAGGUACCUACCCCGAGGUCUGGGAUAGCUGCGGGAAACUGCAGGUAAUACCGGAUAAUGUCUUCGGACCAAAGGUGUGAUUCCACCUUGGGAGGGGCCUGCAUCCUAUUAGCUAGUUGGCGGGGUAAUGGCCCACCAAGGCGACGAUGGGUAGCGGGUGUGAGAGCACGACCCGCGUCAUUGGGAAUGAGACACUGCCCAGACACCUACGGGUGGCUGCAGUCGAGGAUCUUCGGCAAUAGGCGAAAGCCUGACCGAGCGACGCCGCGUGCGGGAUGAAGGCCUUCGGGUUGUAAACCGCUGUCGUAGAGGAGGAAAUGCAGGUGGGUUCUCCCAUCUGUUUGACCUAUUCUAGGAGGAAGUACGGGCUAAGUUCGUGCCAGCCGCCGCAGUAA